CCCUUAGAUGUUCUGGGCUGCACGCGUGCUACACUGAUUACUUCAACAAGUGUUUUAACUGGAGAGUUCGCGUAAUCCUGAAAUGUUAUCGUGAUGGGAGUAGAGUAUUGUAUUUGUUAAUCUUUAACGAGGACUUCCUAGUAAGUGUAGGUUUAUUUGUUUUUUUUUACGUCCCUGCCCUUUGUACACACCGCCCGUCGCUCCUACCGAUUGAUUGAUCCGGUGAAUUACAUAGAAUUUUGCGUUUUACAUGACGGAAGAUGAAGUGUUUUAAACCUUAUCAUUUAGAGGAAGGAGAAGUCGUGACA
rnacentral:rRNA from 1 species